AUUGAACGCUGGCGGCAUGCCUUACACAUGCAAGUCGAACGGCAGCAUGGAAGAGCUUGCUCUUCUGAUGGCGAGUGGCGAACGGGUGAGUAAAGCAUCGGAACGUACCGUGUAGUGGGGGAUAACGUAGCGAAAGUUACGCUAAUACCGCAUACGCACUGAGGUGGAAAGCAGGGGGAUCGCAAGACCUUGCGCUAUACGAGCGGCCGAUGUCAGAUUAGCUAGUUGGUAGGGUAAAGGCCUACCAAGGCGACGAUCUGUAGCGGGUCUGAGAGGAUGAUCCGCCACACUGGGACUGAGACACGGCCCAGACUCCUACGGAGGCAGCAGUGGGGAAUUUUGGACAAUGGGCGAAAGCCUGAUCCAGCCAUGCUGCGUG
rnacentral:rRNA from 1 species